AACGAACGCUGGCGGCAUGCCUAACACAUGCAAGUCGAACGAGCGCUUCGGGUGUAUUGGCGCACGGGUUCGUCACCCGUGGGAACCUGCCCUUAGGUUCGGAAUAACUCCCCGACAGGGGUGCUAAUACCGGAUCAUGUCUUCGGACCAAAGAUUUAUUGCCUUUGGUGGGGCCGGCGUUGGAUUCGCUCUUUGGUAGGCUAAAAGCCUAACAAGGCGACGAUCCAUAGCUGGUCUGAGAGGAGGAUCAGCAACACGGGGACUGAGACACGGCCCAGACUCCUACGGGAGGCAGCAGUGGGGAAUAUUGGACAAGGGGCGAAAGCCUGAUCCAGCAAUGCCGCGGGAGUGAUGAAGGCCUGAGGGUUGUAAAGCUCUUUUACCAGGGAUGAUAAGGACAGUACCGGGAGAAUAAGCUCCGGCUAACUCCGGG
rnacentral:rRNA from 1 species